rnacentral:rRNA from 1 species
CAUCAGUAGCCGCGGGAAUACGGAGGGUGCAAGCGUUAAUCGGAAUUACUGGGCGUAAAGCGCACGCAGGCGGUUUGUUAAGUCAGAUGUGAAAUCCCCGAGCUUAACUUGGGAACUGCAUUUGAAACUGGCAAGCUAGAGUCUUGUAGAGGGGGGUAGAAUUCCAGGUGUAGCGGUGAAAUGCGUAGAGAUCUGGAGGAAUACCGGUGGCGAAGGCGGCCCCCUGGACAAAGACUGACGCUCAGGUGCGAAAGCGUGGGGAGCAAACAGGAUUAGAUACCCGGUAGUCCCUGUCUCUUAUACC